UGGGGAAUAUUGGGCAAUGGGCGCAAGCCUGACCCAGCCAUGCCGCGUGAGUGAUGAAGGCCUUCGGGUCGUAAAGCUCUGUGGGGAGGGACGAACAGCCUGGCGGUUAAUACCCGCCGGGUCUGACGGUACCUCCUUAGCAAGCACCGGCUAACUCCGUGCCAGCAGCCGCGGUAAUACGGGGGGUGCAAACGUUGCUCGGAAUUAUUGGGCGUAAAGCGCACGUAGGCGGUCUGGUAAGUCGGGUGUGAAAGCCCGGGGCUUAACCCCGGAAGUGCACUCGAAACUGCCAGGCUUGAGUAUGGAAGAGGGUCUCGGAAUUCCCGGUGUAGAGGUGAAAUUCGUAGAUAUCGGGAGGAACACCAGUGGCGAAGGCGGAGACCUGGGCCAAUACUGACGCUGAGGUGCGAAAGCGUGGGGAGCAAACAG
rnacentral:rRNA from 1 species